CUAUCAAGCUCAGACCUUGAGUCUGGGAGACAUUUUCAAAUAUUAAAGGAGAAAUUAAUUGAACGCUAACAAGUCUGGAUGCAGAAGAAGAAAAGUUUAACUAGCCUGAAGCUGUGGAUGAAACUUUGAGACACACACAUGUGGUUCUUCCCAUGUGAGCUGCACCCCCACUCCUGGUGUGGGUCACUGGGACGAGGAACUCCAAUACAAGGCCAGAGCACCAAGGUGGAGAGCUAAGAGUCACAGACUAGAAAUGAUUCUCCUUGCUCUGUAGCAGUGACUGCAUUUACAGGUGGGGAAAAUGGAGCCCAUGCAGGACAGCAGUGAGCCUAGCCCAAAUGACACCCAGAGCUCAGCUCAGAAUCUGCUUGGGCACUGAAAAUCCUGGGGGUCAGGGAGGUCCUGAAGUUCCAAGAAGGUCAUGUCUAUUGAGGUGGACCAGAGAAGAGGGUAUGCUCCUGCCUCCGCUUCAGCCAGUUUCUUCUACUGAGUUCCCUUAUUUCAUUUGCAGUUACACAUACCAUGCCUUUGCCUCCUCCUCUUCGUGAGGAUCAAAAUAGCCACCUCUCUCCAGUGUACAAAGUCUACAGGGAAAUUAACUUUUUAAAGCUCACAGUACAUAGACACAGACAUAGGGCUGGAAUCUAGAACAAUCAGUAACUAAGGAGUGGCUUUCUCCUCCUCCAUCCACUGCUGCUCUGUGAAAGUCCUGCCUACACCCAACCCUUAUCUUUCCUUCAAAGUCCAUUCUUCCCAUCCCACCUUGAGCUGGCAGAAACACAGAUCACAGCCAGCCUGAGCUACACAGUGAAGUCUAUUAAAAUUAUUAUCCAGGAGUACUAGUGGCUUAUCAUGGUAUUGGGACGGAAGCAGUUUAUACAGGAAAGGCUCACAGAUCAAGAGUGGUCCAUCAGGGAACAAAAGCCAUAGCAACCAUGACUGACACGGCUAGUCAUAUGUGCUAGUUGGGGAAAAGAGACAGAUGAAUGCUGCUGCUCAACCUACUUUUCCUUUCCUUUCAGUCCAGAACUCCAGCACUAGGAAUGAUGACCCAUACAAAUAGAGUGGAUCUACCUAAUUAAUCUAACCCCAUCUAUCACAAAACGUCCCAGGGAUAAUUGUUCUGGGUGCUUCUAGAUUGUGACAUUGACAGUGCUAGCCUGGCACCAUCUCACAGGAUCAUUGUAAGAGUUCAAAGUGUAAGUGUCAUAAGCCCUGUGGGAGUUCUGUAACUAGAUGCUUCCUCCCUGUCCUUUCUCAUUGGGAGAACCUAUUCACUCCUUUGCCAAGCUUUUCCAGCCCCAACCCACCAGGGCAUGAGUUUCCAGGUGAACUUACCCAAUCUUCCAACAUCAGAGGGUGUGACUGAGGACUGGAAACCUCAAUCCAACCUACCACUAGCAAUCAAGAAGGUUCAAGUUGACCUCUGGCUGAAAGUUUAAACUCACUGUCCAGGUGAGAUGAGCUCCUUAAGGUGACACAAAAACAUGGGCAGAAUAAACAGCAAGAACCCAAGAAUUGGAUAGCCCUAGACAGAACCUUAGAACUCCUGACCCUGGACUCUCACUGUUGGGCCUCACCACUGCUCCCAGGAGGCCCUUGGAAUUAAAGUUAUUAUCUUCCAUCAUGAGAAUACAGCUUGGCUUUCUGAGAAGACAAUUGGCAAACAGGAGAAUCCAUUCCUCAUUACUUAGGUGGCCAAGGGGUAAUCAGGAGUUUCCUUACCACACCGUUCAUGCCAGGCUCAAUGCCAGGACUUAACUUACAUCAUGUUUACGCUUCAAUCUCACAACCAACCUUGAGAGAGAGAAUACUAUUGUCCCAUCUUGGGGACAAGGAGGGCAAGGGUUUGAGAGAUAAAGGCUCACAGUUGAAGAACAGUUGCUUUCCUUCACUGUCAUGAUUCAAACCCAUUUUUGUAAAUACACAUUUAUUAAUUAAUUGAACUAAUUGUUCUUUUUUACUUUUUAUUUACUCUUCUCUCUUACAACACAUUCUGGCCACAGCUUCCUCAGACUCCAUUCCCCCUAAUUCCCUCCCACACCUCCACAUCUCCCUCCCAAUCCAUUCCUGCUCCAUUUCCCCUCAGAGAGAAGUAAGCUUUUCAGGAAUAUCAACUGAACACAGCAUUCAAGAUGAAAUGAACCAGGCACAAUCCCUCAUGUCAAGGCUGACCAAGAAAACCCUGUAUGAAGAACAGGGUUCCAAAACAGACAAUAAUCAAAGACAUUGCCUCUCCAACUGUUUGUAGUCCCAGAAAAAUACCAAACCAAACAACCACAGCAUGUAUGCAGAGGACAUAGUUUAGACCCAUGCAGGCCCCAUGACUGUCACUUCAAUCUCUGUGAGACUCUGUGAGCCCUGAUUAGUUGAUUGUGUUUCAUAGGCUCUGAUCAUCUGUUGUCCUUAAACCCACAAGCACCUACCAUCCUUUCUCUCCCUUUUCCAAGGGGUUCCCCAAGCUCCAUCUAGAAAUCCUGCACCUGCAGUCUCACUUCUGGACCAUGACACUGCUCCCAAGAGGCCCCUGGAAUUAAGAGCAGUGUCCUUGCCCUUAUGUCUGCCUGUGGGUCUCUGUAUUUUCUCCCAUCAACUUCAAGAGGAAAACUCUCUGAUGGUGAUGGAGCUAAGGCAGCAACCUCUGAGUACAACAGAAUAUCAUUAGGAAUCAUUUCAUUGACAUAGUAUUGUUGUUCCAUCGUGUUUGGUUCUAGCCUAGGUCUCUAGGCCAUCAUGAUUCCAAUUCCUGGCCAUCCAGGCCCUGUAGGCAUGAGCUUCCUCUUUGGCCAGGGCCUUAAGUUAGAAAUUCAUUGAAUGGCCACUCCCUCAAGCAUAUUUUGCAUAUACAACAGCUUGUGGGACAAAGGUUUUGUGAGUGGGUUGGUUUCCCAGUCCUACAACUGGAAGAUUUGCCUCCUUAAAAAAACGAAUAAUGGACUUUUGCAGCCAGAGGAUAGGGAUCUGCCCAGUGGGCUCAGGAGUGCUUUGCCUGAGCAUCGGCAGCAGACAUCUUGGUUACAGGAACCCGCCUAGUGUAUCCUGCACAGGUGAGAGUACGAAAUACAGAAGCUAAAAGCUUCUGGGACAGGCGGGAACCACAGAGCUUCUAAGGCAGCCCCCUUUUCCGGCCCCAGGCAGCGCUUUGCCUGAGCAUCGGCAGCAGACAUCUUGAGACAUCUUGGUUCCGGGAUCCCUCCGAGUGUAUCCUGCACAGCUCCAGAGAAUACCAGAUGGCGAAAGGCAAACGAAAGAAUCCUACUAACAGAAAUCAAGACCACUCACCAUCAUCAGAACGCAGCACUCCCACCCCACCUAGUCCUGGGCACCCCAACACAACCGAAAAGCUAGACCCGGAUUUAAAAGCAUAUCUCAUGAUGAUGGUAGAGGACAUCAAGAAGGACUUUCAUAACUCACUUAAAGGAAUUCAGGAGAAAACUGCUAAUGAGUUACAAGUCCU
rnacentral:lncRNA from 1 species